GACGAACGCUGGCGGCGUGCUUAACACAUGCAAGUCGAACGGUGAAAGCGGAGCUUGCUCCGCUGGAUCAGUGGCGAACGGGUGAGUAACACGUGGGCAACCUGCCCCUCACUUCGGGAUAACUCCGGGAAACCGGGGCUAAUACCGGAUAUGACCUCCUUGGGCAUCCUUGGAGGUGGAAAGUUUUUCGGUGAGGGAUGGGCCCGCGGCCUAUCAGCUUGUUGGUGGGGUGGUGGGUCACCAAGGCGACGACGGGUAGCCGGCCUGAGAGGGCGACCGGGCACACUGGGACUGAGACACGGCCCAGACGCCUACGGGAGGCAGCAGUGGGGAAUAUUGCGCAAUGGGCGAAAGCCUGACGCAGCAACGCCGCGUGCGGGAUGACGGCCUUCGGGUUGUAAACCGCUUUCAGCAGGGAAGAAGCCGCAAGGUGACGGUACCUGCAGAAGAAGCACCGGCUAACUACGUGCCAGCCGCCGCCGUAA
rnacentral:rRNA from 1 species